rnacentral:rRNA from 1 species
UGAGCAAUCUGCCCUUCUCUUUGGAAUAAGCGUUGGAAACGACGUCUAAUGCCGAAUACGACCUCCUUUCACAUGAUCGGAGGUGGAAAGCUCCGGCGGAGAAGGAUGAGCUCGCGGCCUAUCAGCUAGUUGGUGUGGGUAACGGCCCACCAAGGCGACGACGGGUAGCCGGCCUGAGAGGGUGACCGGCCACACUGGGACUGAGACACGGCCCAGACUCCUACGGGAGGCAGCAGG